AGCACAGCCCAGGGAAACCUCCUCACAGCUUUCAUCCAGCCACGGGCCAGCAUGUCUGGGGGCAAAUACGUAGACUCGGAGGGACAUCUCUACACCGUUCCCAUCCGGGAACAGGGCAACAUCUACAAGCCCAACAACAAGGCCAUGGCAGACGAGCUGAGCGAGAAGCAAGUGUACGACGCGCACACCAAGGAGAUCGACCUGGUCAACCGCGACCCUAAACACCUCAACGAUGACGUGGUCAAGGUAAGCCAAGGCGACCAACAGGGAAGGGCUGGGACAGCUCUCCUCUGGCAGUUAGCCCGUGCAUCCUUCUUUAGCAUUGCCGUGUACGCACACCCCACCCCGCCCCCUACACGCGCGCGCACACACACACACACACACACACACACAGAGUUUUGUGGGUUUGAUGUGUGGGAGCUCCCGCAGUCGGCAGAAACGUUACAUCUCCCUUCCCCCAUCUCCCCCCAAUAGUUAGUUCAGCUGAAAUUCAGCUAAAGUGAGUUUUGUAGAAGUUCCUAUAACUACACUUUUAUCCUAGCAAAUGAACCUAUUGACCUCAGCAACAGACGGCCCAUACUCCUUGGGA
rnacentral:sRNA from 1 species